AUUUAGSKWAAGGUGGCMAGCSGUGUCCGGAAUUAUUGGGCGUAAUGGGYCGCAGGCGGUUCUUAAGUCUGAUGUGAAAGCCCCCGGCUCAACCGGGGAGGGUCAUUGGAAACUGGGAAACUGAGUGCAGAAGAGGAGAGUGGAAUUUCCACGUGUAGCGGUGAAAUGCGUAGAGAUGUGGAGGAACACCAGUGGCGAAGGCGACUCUCUGGUCUGUAACUGACGCUGAGGAGCGAAAGCGUGGGGAGCGAACAGGAUUAGAUACCCUGGUAGUCCACGCCGUAAACGAUGAGUGCUAAGUGUUAGGGGGUUUCCGCCCCUUAGUGCUGCAGCUAACGCAUUAAGCACUCCGCCUGGGGAGUACGGUCGCAAGACUGAAACUCAAAGGAAUUGACGGGGGCCCGCACAAGCGGUGGAGCAUGUGGUUUAAUUCGAAGCAACGCGAAGAACCUUACCAGGUCUUGACAUCCUCUGACAACCCUAGAGAUAGGGCUUUCCCUUCGGGGACAGAGUGACAGGUGGUGCAUGGUUGUCGUCAGCUCGUGUCGUGAGAUGUUGGGUUAAGUCCCGCAACGAGCGCAACCCUUGAUCUUAGUUGCCAGCAUUCAGUUGGGCACUCUAAGGUGACUGCCGGUGACAAACCGGAGGAAGGUGGGGAUGACGUCAAAUCAUCAUGCCCCUUAUGACCUGGGCUACACACGUGCUACAAUGGACAGAACAAAGGGCUGCGAGACCGCAAGGUUUAGCCAAUCCCACAAAUCUGUUCUCAGUUCGGAUCGCAGUCUGCAACUCGACUGCGUGAAGCUGGAAUCGCUAGUAAUCGCGGAUCAGCAUGCCGCGGKGAAUACGUUCCCGGGCCUUGUACACACCGCCCGUCWCAMCACGAGAGUUUGCAACACCCGAAGUCGGUGAGGUAACCUUAKGAGCCAGCCGCCGAAGKGGGCAGURKGKRAAGGGGGUUGKGKKU
rnacentral:rRNA from 1 species